UUUAAUAUAGCUUAUAAUUAAAGCGUUGCUGUGAAGUAGCAAAUAAAAUUUUUAAUUUAUAAACA
rnacentral:tRNA from 1 species